rnacentral:rRNA from 1 species
CGAGGGGGAUUAGUUGUCUAGCAAUAGAUGGCUAUGAGACCGGCAAACGGGUGCGGAACACGUACGCAACCUUCCCAAAACUGGUGAAUAGCCCUCCGAAAGGAGGAUUAAUACACCGUAACUUAAUGAGCUGGCAUCAGUUUAUUAAUAUAGCUCCGGCGGUUUUGGAUGGGCGUGCGCCUGAUUAGGUAGUUGGCGGGGUAACGGCCCACCAAGCCUACGAUCAGUAACUGGUGUGAGAGCACGACCAGUCACACGGGCACUGAGACACGGGCCCGACCCCUACGGGAGGCAGCAGUAAGGAAUAUUGGUCAAUGGACGCAAGUCUGAACCAGCCAUGCCACGUGAAGGAUGACGGCCCUCUGGGUUGUAAACUUCUUUUAUCUGGGACGAAAAAAGGUCAUUCUUGAUCACUUGACGGUACCAGAGGAAUAAGCACCGGCUAACUCCGUGCCAGCAGCCGCGGUAAUACGGAGGGUGCAAGCGUUAUCCGGAUUUACUGGGUUUAAAGGGUGCGUAGGUGGAUUUGUAAGUCAGUGGUGAAAUCUCCGAGCUUAACUCGGAAACUGCCAUUGAUACUAUAAGUCUUGAAUUAUCUGGAGGUGAGCGGAAUAUGUCAUGUAGCGGUGAAAUGCUUAGAUAUGACAUAGAACACCAAUUGCGAAGGCAGCUCACUACGGAUUGAUUGACACUGAGGCACGAAAGCGUG